AUCUACUGAAAAAAUACUUCUAGGCCCUAUAGCUACAUGAUAUCUCCACUGGGAGCCCUGUCCUUUCCAUGCCCUGGGAAAACCCGAUCUAAAGCAGAUUUAAAUGACUCAGCAGUAGGACUCAGGUCUCUGUCUCUGCCUGCUUACUUGGGGAGUGCUCCAGCCUUAGGGGCUCUCUUGCACUCCAACAUAGGAAAGAAAUUAUCGAUGGCUCCAUUCCCCAGCAUUUGAGACUUUUCUUCCCACAGACACAUUCCUGAGGACACCAGUCAUGGGUAAAGAACUCCACUGGGGUCAGCGUUGGAUCCCACUAGGCAGUUUAGGACUUGUAAGUAGAGUAGUGUGGACUUGGUGUUCCCAGAGCCUCUCACUCAUGAUUCAUGGCUCUCCACCCCAAGCAUCGGAACUUGCCCAACUUCACCACAGAAGGAAACAGACUGUAAGCUUGGAGGGCCAGGGAGGAAACCGGAGGCAUGUGUGGGAGGAUUAGAAACAUGAAAAGAUAUUUACAGUAAGGUUCGCUUGUCAUCCUCUUGAACUGGGGGUGCAUAGAGUACAAUAAGACCCCAUGUGAGUAUGUUAGAUGAUAAGGCUCAGGUUGGAUGGGUGUGUAGAGUAAAGGCUUUGCAUCACCUUUGCCAGGGUGAGGGAAGGCUAUGGAUAGCACAGGGGACCUUGAUGAUCGGGUGAGGGAGCCCAUGUGGACAUAGUGGUCACCAGCUACUUCCUAGUUCUCUACAUGGGAGAAAGAGCCCUUCUCUGUAAUCAUGGAAGCUCAAGUUCUUGGUGGUUCAGAGGUUAGAGACCUCUGAUUACUAGGACAGAGCAGAAUAGCAGGGCUGGUCCUGGUAGAUCAGACAUCUCAUGACAUCCUUUAAAAGGGACUAGAAUAUUCAGAACUCCGGUGUAACUAAAUGAUCCUCAAGCUUUACCAGCAGGUGAGCAAGGUCCCAUUGUAUUUGGUACUCACAUCCCCACCAAUUCUGUAAAAGUUUGCCAACUUUCCCCUCCAUCCCCUGCACCCUUUCACCAAAAGAUAUGCCUAAGAGUUCCCAAGAGACGUCUAACAUAGGCCUGCAUGUCAGCCCAGUCUUCUGGGCUGAGCUGCUGCACUGUUGCUGGCCUUGAUGGCUGAACCUGAUCUCUGUUGUGGCACCCACCACUCUUUCUCAAGCCUUGACACCUUGGCAGGCUUUGGCAAAAAGAGGAGAGCUGUUCUUCCUCGGCAUUAUGUUCACUUAGCAGGGUCCCACAGCAGGAUUGCUUGGACCCCAGAGUAUUGUAGGGCUUAAUAAGACCAGCCCUUUCAUCUCACACGCUCUAUCCUUUCUCUCACUGGUGCACCCACGUCAGGUGUCUUGAGUGGGGAGUGCUCGAAUAUCUGCCACCAGCUUGAGUCAGAACCUCGACUUCCCUCAGCUUUUCAGGGUCUGUUACUGAGUCUGGUCCACACUCCAGGGUCUUUUCCUCACGGUCUGGGUCUGGUCUUUUUCAGGUGCCUACCUUUCCUCCCUGCAAACUGCCUUGAGUUGCCUCCCCUUCUCCCUUCCUUCCUGGUCUGUCAGAGACAUCUUGUCUGGGUGCAUAUUUGAACCCCAUCAGUAGACAGAAAACAUGUAUUUCCUUGAAGGCCCCUCAGACCCCAGGUACAAACAUUGAAGUAAAUAACAGCAGGGAUGGGGGUUCUGCCUCGCUUCACCUGCCAGCCACGUGCAGACCUUGUUUCAGUCCAACUGAGACUUUAGCAAGUGCUUCAUUCUGGUUUGUGAAUGGCUUCCCAGUGUCUGUCACUGUGUUCACAGGGCCACCGGGGUUGGCUGAGUCAGAAUACCAGCCAUGUGGCAUGUCGCAUGGGGCAAGAGCUGUGCUGCCCAUGGGAGUCCAGAGAAGGAGCACACUAAGGACCAACACCAGAGAGAAGACAGCUGUCUGCAAACCAGAAAGAGAGUCCUCACUGCACUUCAUAUCUGCCAAUGGAUCCUUGCUCUUGAACCUCCCAACCUGCAGAAUCAUGAGAAACAAACAUUGUCAUUUGCUCUAGGGGAAGCCUGCAGCUAUGUCAUGAGGACCCUCAACAGCCCUGUGCAGAGGACUAUGUGGCAUGAAAGAUACCUUCUGCCAACAACCAGCCCCAACUUGCCAAGCAUGUGAACAAGCUAAACUGAAAGCAGAUCUUCAGCCCCAAUCAAGCCUUCAGAUGACAGUAACCUCAGCCAAUAUACUGACUAUAACCUCAUAAAAGACCCUGAACCAGAACCCUCUAAGCCACUCUCAAACUCUACCCCACAUAAACUGUGAAAUAAUAUAUGUUUAUUGUUAUUUUGGGCCACUAAGUUUAGGGGUAAUUUGUUAUGCAGCAAUUAUAUAACCAAUAUUCCAACUAAAGCUGAAAUGCCUCCUGCAUUUCCUCCCUCAGUGGCCUACACUACAAUCCAAGUUCAGGAAAAAACGAGAACCUUAUUUAAGGUAGUGGCAAGAAAUGAAUGGAUUAACUGGACAUUUAAAAAGUAUUUGAUAGAACUUGGUGAUAGGAGGUGGGGCAGUUAGGGACUAGCAGGAAUUUAGGAUGAGAGGCUCAUUCAGUUGGGCUUAUGUUUUACUGAGGUCAAUUCCAAAAGGAAGGAAAGAAAAAUCCAGCCAAAUAACCUUUAAUGGACUAAGUCUUCUUUCAUAAGUCAGUUUGCACAACUUCUUCACAGGAAUCAGAUUUUAAAUAUCAUAACUGAAGAGAAAAAAAACAGCAAGAGGAGUUUACCUUUAUGGUGGAAUGACACUAAUCUUUCAUGCUUUCAAAUUUCUUGAAAUUUCCUUCGUAUGCAUUAUCUUAUUUGCUGUUCACAGUAAAACUGUGUAUUGGCUAAGCCAGUUUUUAUGAAAAUAUAAGCAGUGAGAAAAAGUAAGAUAGUAUGUCAGUUAGUAGAUUUUUUUAUGGACAUUGUGACAGAGGACACAACUUAAACUGGCUUUUUUUUUUUUUUUUUUUUUUUUGAGACAGAGUUUUGCUCUUGUUGCCCAGGCUGGAGUGCAAUGGCACGAUCUCGGCUCACUGCAACCUCCGCCCCCUGGGUUCAAGUGAUUCUCCUGCCUCAGCCUCCCGAGUAGCUGGAAACACAGGUGCCUGCCACCGCGUCCGGCUAAUUUUUUGUAUUUUUAGUAGAGAUGGAGUUUCACCAUGUUGGCCAGGCUAGUCUCAAACUCCUGACCUCAGGUGAUCCACCUGCCUCAGCCUCCCAAACUGCUGGGAUUACAGGUGUGAGCCACCGCACCUGGCAAAAGGGUUUUGUUUCUAAAGGUACAAGAACAGGUACAGCUUCGGGUCAGUGUGAUUCAGCCCUCAACAAAGCCACCAGGAUCCAUUUCUUGGCUCUGCUUCAUUGCUUCUCAUAGGCUGGCUCAUUCUCAGACUGUACGUGAUAUGGUUCAGUGGCUUUAGGCUCCAAGCAUGACAACACCCAACACUCAGAUUGAUGGAGCUAGAGCAAGUCUCUUCAGGCAGCGUCUAGGAAAGUUCUGAAAUUCACUCUGAUUGGCUGCCCAUCUCUGAAUCAACCACGUAACCCAAGGAAAUAGGAACUGCUGAUGGGUCAGGGUCGGUUCACAUGCUUCAUACCUGGAGCUGAGAAGACAUCAACUCCAUCCUGGAGCUCAUGGGCUGUGACUAGAGCAGACGGAGUUCUCAGAGGAAAGUCAGAGUACAGUUAUCAAAGCAAGCAGUUACAGAUGCUAGAUGACCAAAAUCCAAUAACUGCCCAGUAAAAAUAUUAUACUAAAAUCUAGGAACAUGUGGCUGAUGGACAGUCAUUACCAGGAAAAAAAAGUUGUUAGGUCUAAAUGUAAAAAUUGAGGCAAAGAAAGUGCCCGAGCUAGAAUUAGAACCCUGACUACCUGAAUAUUAGAUCGGUUAGUGCCACUUCUACCCUACCGCUGCUGAGGGGGGAGGUGAACAGUCUCUCAGGUUGCAGACAGUGGAUGGUUUCCCUCCCUCUAUCUUCUCAUUUCAUGGUGGAGCUGAAUCAUCCUAUGUUCUACAUGCUGACAGUGGAAGGUUAUGACCAUACCCAUAUCCUGUUGUCUCUGAGUCUCCUGUGGUGCAGAGAUCCCUGAGACUUGUAGAACAGAACCUGAGUGGAAAGUGGGAGGGGGAUUGGGGGUGGUUCCCACGAAUCAAGCAGCAACCUGGAGACAAGGAACACCUGCAACCUCAGCAGUGGAUCAGAACGGCUGACUGAGCAAUGGACAUACUGUGCAUCUUUCAUUAGUGCUGAGACCAACUUCUAGCUUGGAGUCCCAUGAAAGGGAAACUUAGCCCUAACACCACAACAAGGAGCACAGUGUCAAGUGGGGACAUUGCAGCAGAGUUGCCGCAAAGACUCUGAAGUGCUAUGGGAAGGGAUAUUUCCUAGGAGGGGUUAAAGGGAUUCUCCUUAAGAAGGGGGCUGGGGGAAUCUGAGUAAGAGGUGGGGGAAAGCAGCCAAAGCAUGAUACUUAGUCAUAGCAUCACAAGAAUUUGACUCAGAGUUCCUACAAGGUUGUCCUAAAAUGCCCUGGUUCAGGUGGGUCAGCUUUGAAAGCACCCAAAUUACCCCGUUUUCUGUACUAUGUUUAAAGGCAAUUUGAAAGAAAGACCCCUAAUUUGGAAACAUGUGCUAAGGCUAAAUCACUUUUUCAACUGAAAAUUCUUUUUUAUGUAUUGUUACACUCCAUUUUCUGUCUUGUGUUUUUUGUUGUUG
rnacentral:lncRNA from 1 species